CCGAGUCUCUAGCGACUGAUUGUCCAAACGCAAUUCUUGAGAAAACUCCAAAUUCAACCCCCAAGAAUUGUGUAUGGACAUCUGUUGCUGCAGACUC
rnacentral:miRNA from 1 species